GGGGAGGCCGGAGAACGCGCCGGGGGUGCCAGGGUCCCGCACACUGGAGUGGCGGCGCCUCCCCGUGGUGUCCCCGCUCCUGGGUCCUUUUUGGGACUGGCUCUGGCACUCCCGGGCACUCAGUCCAGUAGAGAAGUCCAGCAGGAGGCUUCCAGGUCGGACUCCUCCGAGGGGUAAAGAGAGGGAAAGGGCCUCACAAACACACCCAGGAGCAUCUGGCGAUGGAGGAUGAGAAGACAAGAGAGUGACGGGGGCAGAGUCAGGGGUCUAAUCUCCUUGCGAGCCAUCUGAUCUCCCCGGGCCUCUGUUUUCUCAUCUGUGAAAUGAUGGUUUGGACGGCCUUGUCUCUGAGGCCUCAUCCAGUUCCACGUACAGGAAGAUAUAAAUGCAAAUGUGCAAAAAAAGGAAGAAGGAAAGAUGGACCAAGUUCACCUGUUUGGUACGUACGGGGUCCACAGCUCUGCAGAAAGGGGAGAAACCUGGUAGACAGAGGGCCUGACGCACCAUUGCACUGAGCACAUUUUCCACUGCUUAAUUAUGUGUGAGAUUUUCCCUUUUAAAAUAAAUCUAUGGUCUGUGAAAUAGUCUGUAUAAAAAUAUGAAGCCUUGAAGAGGUCAGUCAUAGCAGUUCCGUCUUGAAUAGAACUCAAUUUUACAAGCACGGAGUGAGAGUAUCAUUCCACUGCAAACUCUUUUAUUUCCACAACAUAUUAGAUCUCAUUCUGCUUUAGUAGAGUUACCUCUUAAGUAUGACUAUUAGCCAUUUCAUUAAUAUGAAAAUCUGGGAAGGCCCACAUAAAAUACCAACAUAAUUGCUGGCUACCAAGAUGAAAUUAUUUAGGCAGAUUCCAGCCCCAAUGGUUCAAUGAUAACAAAACUACAAAACAUGGGACAUCAAAUUCAUUAACUAAAAUUAUUAAGUCACCUCUUCCAUCGAAUGAUGAGAUUUUUCUUAUUCACUGUU